rnacentral:rRNA from 1 species
GACGAACGCUGGCGGCGUGCUUAACACAUGCAAGUCGAGCGGAGCGGCGAACGGGUGAGUAACUCGUGAGUAACUGCCCCCCUCCCUGGGAUAACAGUUGGAAACGGCUGCUAAUACCGGAUAGUGGGGGCUGACUCGCGUCCUAUCAGCUUGUUGGGGGGGUAGUGGCCUACCAAGGCGACGACGGGUAGCCGGCCUGAGAGGGCGACCGGCCACAUUCUGCUGGGUUACCGCCCAAACUCCUACUGGAGGCAGCGGUGGGGAAUAGUGCACACAGGGGGAAACGCUUAUGCAGCACCGCCGCGUGGUUGAUGACGGCCUUCGGGUUGUAAACCGCUUUCAGCCAUGACGCGGUAGUGGCAGAAGAAGCACCGGCUAACUACGUGCCAGCAGCCGCGGUAAUUC